rnacentral:rRNA from 1 species
GACGAACGCUGGCGGCGUGCCUAAUACAUGCAAGUUGAGCGCUGAAGGUUGGUACUUGUACCAACUGGAUGAGCAGCGAACGGGUGAGUAACGCGUGGGGAAUCUGCCUUUGAGCGGGGGACAACAUUUGGAAACGAAUGCUAAUACCGCAUAAAAACUUUAAACACAAGUUUUAAGUUUGAAAGAUGCAAUUGCAUCACUCAAAGAUGAUCCCGCGUUGUAUUAGCUAGUUGGUGAGGUAAAGGCUCACCAAGGCGAUGAUACAUAGCCGACCUGACAGGGUGAUCGGCCACAUUGGGACUGAGACACGGCCCAAACUCCUACGGGAGGCAGCAGUAGGGAAUCUUCGGCAAUGGACGAAAGUCUGACCGAGCAACGCCGCGUGAGUGAAGAAGGUUUUCGGAUCGUAAAACUCUGUUGGUAGAGAAGAACGUUGGUGAGAGUGGAAAGCUCAUCAAGUGACGGUAACUACCCAGAAAGGGACGGCUAACUACGUG